UACGGGGGGGGCAAGCGUUGUUCGGAAUUACUGGGCGUAAAGGGUUCGUAGGUGGCCUACUAAGUCACACGUGAAAUCCCUCGGCUCAACCGGGGAACUGCGUGUGAUACUGGCGGGCUUGAAUUCGGGAGAGGGAUGUGGAAUUCCAGGUGUAGCGGUGAAAUGCGUAGAUAUCUGGAGGAACACCGGUGGCGAAGGCGGCAUCCUGGACCGAGAUUGACGCUGAGGCGCGAAAGCUAGGGUAGCAAACGGG
rnacentral:rRNA from 1 species